rnacentral:rRNA from 1 species
UACGUAGGUCGCAAGCGUUGUCCGGAUUUACUGGGCGUAAAGAGCGCGCAGGCGGCUGGUCAAGUCCGAUGUGAAAUCUCCCGGCUUAACUGGGAAACUGCAUCGGAAACUGAUCGGCUUGAAGGUGGGAGAGGGUAGUGGAAUUCCCGGUGUAGUGGUGAAAUGCGUAGAUAUCGGGAGGAACACCAGUGGCGAAGGCGACUACCUGGCCCAUUCUUGACGCUGAGGCGCGAAAGCUAGGGGAGCGAACGGGG